UCUUUUGCUGCAUUGAGGAAGGAAAUUCUUUCCUGCUGAGGCUUCUAUUUUUUUGUUCCUGUGUAAAGCGAUUGAUGCUGGCGUGACUGCAGCAAACAAGGCCAUUCUAUUUAUACUCUUGUCUUGUUUGCAAACUAUUUGUUCAUGUCAUAGCUCAUAAAAGGCCUCUGAGAUUCUUCAUUUCUCACUUCUUUCACCUCUGCUGUUGUAGUUUAGCAGAUGAAUAUAUGGAGAUUAGAUGCAGCGAUUAAACAUACAAGUGAUCCUUUAUGUCAGCUGCAGGCAAUCUGAGGAUUUUAAAAUGAUCAGAGUUGGGCCAUUUGGUGUUUUAUAAGAUAUUUAGAAGACUUGACCUUUGUGUUUCCAAAAGAUCUGCACUUGGAAAGUUGUGGACACUAAUUCUCUGUGCAGGUAUCAUCUUUCCAAGUCAAGCAGGUCAAGCAAGUUCAGUAUCAACAGGUAAUCGGAUGGGAUGCUCAUCCUGUGAAGCUUGUGCUUUCUCUCUUGUUGAUGCCUAAAUGUCUAGAAAUGUUCCAGCAAAUGUCCCUUGGCAUCAACAAGAAAUCCAAAGAACAAACAUGCCGAAUUGGUUAGCUAUCUAACUUUCUUCAAUAUGAGUUGAGUAUGGACCGGUGAAACCCAGGAAUAAAUCUUCCUGAUAACUACGAAUCUUAGGGAAAUGGGUUAGGCAUGCAUGAAACCCAUCCAGAGUGUUUGCUUUGGCAUAUUGUUGCAGAAACAGACGGCUUUGGUUAGAUUCCAACAUGCACUGUCGAUGGAGGUAGCACUACAUGGGGCCGAAGAAGAAAGAGAAAGGCGAGGAUCACACGGUUGCUGGAAACUGAUUCCUUCUUGAAAGAGGACGUCUCCAUUGAAAGCUCAGUUGUAACACACCGAUCAUGCAAGUAAGCUUUUGGCAAUCUUCUUUUCCCUAUGGUAGAAUAAGAAAAAGGUCUUCUCACUCUUUAAACCUCAUAUGGUGAAUGCGCUAGACAUUGGG